rnacentral:rRNA from 1 species
GACUACUGGGGUAUCUAAUCCCGUUUGCUACCCUAGCUUUCGCGUCUGAGUGUCAGGAAUGGUCCAGGAGGCCGCUUUCGCCACUGGUGUUCCUCCAGAUAUCUGCGCAUUCCACCGCUACACCUGGAAUUCCACCUCCCUCUACCAUCCUCUAGUUCUGCAGUUUAGAACGGCCUCUCCCAGUUGAGCCGGGAGCUUUCACGCCCUACUUACAAAACCACCUACACGCGCUUUACGCCCAGUAAAUCCGGAUAACGUUUGCCUCCUACGUGUUACCGCGGCUGCUGGCACGUAGUUAGCCGAGACUUAUUCUGGAAGUACCUUCCUUCCUAUUCCUUCCAAAAAGUGCUUUACAACCCGAAGGCCUUCAUCGCACACGCGGUGUCGCUAGAUCAGACUUUCGUCCAUUUCUAAUAUUCCCUACUGCAGCCCCCCGUAGG